ensembl:lncRNA
UAUCCAGAGAUCACUCCUCUUGGAGCCCUUUGGUGAGCUCAGGACACAGAUUUGUGAGCUUUCUUUCAGAGCAGAGCAAUUGGUGCUGAAUGGCAUGGAAAAUAGCUACUGGAAAGCAGAGCCCUUUGGGGUUUCAAGAUGUGACAAGCAGGAACAACCUGGAGGUCAUUAUUGGAUUCAUCCUGUGCCAGCACCCAGGAGACCGUGCAGAAAUCACUGUCCAGACUACUGAACUGUUCAAACAGUCCUGUGUGUGAUUGGCUAGCAGACAUUGGGAGUGUCAGACACUGCAAAGACGACUGAACAUAAAUUAUGUAUUCCAGAGAGCCUUUGAUUUCACAGAUGUACGAAGGAUUUGGCAUAGUUGUCCUCUGGUGAUUAAAAUAUUCAAAUAGCCCAUAAUUUACUACUAAGGACUGAAAACUGGACUGGGAUUCAGAAAACCUGGAUUUCAUUUCUGAGUCUGUGUGAGCCUUGAUAGAGGACCUUGAGCAGUCGCUUCUCCGUCUUAUUUUUCUCAUCUAGAAAACUAUGUUUGACUCUACUGAUGAAAAGCAAAACAUAAUAGAUGUAAUUAUUAUGAUUUUUAUUUGUUGUAAAUAUUAUGCUGUACUUCAUAAAAUAUCUUUUUUUUUUUUAAGAAGCAAUUUCAGGUCUCUUUCAUGAAAUAUGUGAUACCAUAAUUAGUGGAUGUAGCUGGUUUUCUUCCAUUGCUGAUUCUGAUUUUAGGAAAGUAUGUAACUUUGAAAACAAAGCAUGUGAUGUGGAGUUUUAUUACAGGUUUCAGUUGCUUGUGAGUACUUGUCAAUACUCUAAUUUUCCAGACAAGAGGUGGUUCCAGUAUCUAAAAACUUGUUGCUAUAUUUGCAAAGUAAAACAGUAUUUAUAUUCCCCAUAAUAUUGAUUAAGCAAUGAAAAAUGGUAUUAGAAAUUGUUUAGUCUCUAAUUCAAUCACCAACACAGAAAGGACAACGUGAUUAUGGUAAGACUACUGUUGUCUGAGCUCUCUGUGUAUCCUAUCCUAUGUGGCUCAAAGUCAUGGGCUCUGCGGUGCAACUCCUGAAGCAAGCUGCACAAGCCAGGUGACAAGUAUCAGCUCCUACUCCUCCUUUCAGGACUGAAUCCAUCCAAAAUGCUAAAAAGCAGCUCUGCAGUUGAAAUGGUCAGUAACCGACAAAGAGAAAUCAGAAGGGAGAAGAGAAUGUUAUCUUUCAUGGCCUGAUUCCUAUUCAUAAGGACUCAAGAGUCAGGCAAAGGUCUCUCAUGCAAAAGGUGUGAGUUUAAUGUUUAAUUUAUCUUCUAAAUGCAUUUUUUUUUCCUUCCCCAGUUAUCUUCAUCUUUUCACCUUAAUGUUUUCUUUCUUAACUAGCAAGAAAUUUUUAAGGCUUAGGCAGCAGAAUGGUUGGUGGAGUUUGCCAGAAAUUUGCGAAAUGCAGACACUUCUGUUUCCUACAUGUUACUGUUUUUCAGAGUGCUCUGACAGAUACAGCUGAUACAGGAAAAUGCGCAGUCAUAUCCCAGUGGAUCUGUGUUACCCGGCCCUGCCCUGGCUGUUGUGUCAAAUCACUCCAAACCUUUCCUUUCCCAUGCCAAACUGAGUGUGCCUGGCAUGAAGUCAGGCGGGGCUGUUUCUUCAUUACCAGACAGGGCUGGAGAGAGAUCAGCAGUAGUCAUUAUGAAUGCUUUUUAGUUCUAUCUCAGACUCCUUUCUCUCUUUUUCCUCUACUACUGCAGAGAAGAUACUGCAGAGAAAGGCCUCUGACUUUAUUGCAGUAGCUCAGCUAAUUGUAAGAGGAACACAGCAAGUGUUGGGGGUUAACUCUAAUUAAAUGCUCUGGAGAUCUUUCUUAAUUUCUCUGGCCUCAUUUCAACAGAAGUCAAGCUGAUACCUAAUUCAGUGCAUUAGCCAUUUUCACUCAAGUCAGUAGGUUGAUAGCAAACUCUCAGUAACAUUUCCCUAUGCAUCCCUGCCAGGUAAAAAGGCAACAUCUCUGUGCAUCACUAGUCCUCAAUCCUUAGGCACUCACACAGGUAUAGAUACGGAUAUAUAACUAUCUCACCUGUUCCUUUAGAUUCAGGCAAUGACUUGUGCUUGAACUAGGCAAAUGCUUAAUUGAUUGGAUAUCUAUCUUAAGUUUGCUUACAGUAGUAAGUUGCAAUUACACAGAACAAAAUCAAAGAACUUGUGAAGUACUUUAAAUUUCUUAAUUAUCUGUGAAAGUUAGGGCAUUGUGUUUUUGGCAAGAGCAAGUAACAUGUAGAUAGGGAUAAAAGUCUGUCUGUCCGGAUCUGUCCCUUUGUGAAGGAGGAUAUAAGUUGUUGUAGUGGUGACAGGAGACUUUUCUUCUUAGGAGACUUCAGUGCACUGGAAAUUUUCCAUCACCAUUUUAUCCAGAUUUAACUCAAGAUCUGCACAUGAAUUAUUCAAAUGAGGAAGUGCAAUUUCAUUUAGAAAAAAAUACGGCAAGAAAUGUUGUAAUACUGCAAUAAAAUGCCAUAUCUUCUUCUAUUGUGACUAGUUACAAAGCUUGGCUAGAACAAACAUUUGUAAUUGAAGCUUUUGUAUUUUAUUGCAUCUUUAUGACAUCUAGCUAUCUGCUCUGUGUCUUGAGCCUUGUUGACAUAAUC